rnacentral:sRNA from 1 species
CUUAUCAGUCCUGUUCACACUCAUGGAGAAGUGGAUAGUGUGUCAUGCAGAGGGUCAUGGCCUUGCUUUCAAUUCGCCAGGACCUUUUCUUUUGGGGAUACACCAUGAACCCAUUGGAACAGUUUGCUGUCAUUAGAUUGGAGGGCUCUCUGUCAUGUACUGACUUGGGACUCUGUUUUCAUUUCUUUUCUAGGCAGAGCUGCAACCCUCUUGUCCUCUUUGAAGCAGAAAUUGAAAAGUACUGCCCAGAGAAUUUUGUAGACAUUAAGAAAACUUUGGAACGAGAGACUCGCCAGUGCCAGGCUCUGGUGAUCUGGACUGACUGUGAUAGAGAAGGCGAAAACAUCGGGUUUGAGAUUGUCCACGUGUGUAAGGCUGUAAAGCCCAAUCUGCAGGUGUUGCGAGCCCGAUUCUCUGAGAUCACACCCCAUGCCGUCAGGACAGCUUGUGAAAACCUGACCGAGCCUGAUCAGAGGGUGAGCGAUGCUGUGGAUGUGAGGCAGGAGCUGGACCUGAGGAUUGGAGCUGCCUUUACUAGGUUCCAGACCCUGCGGCUUCAGAGGAUUUUUCCUGAGGUGCUGGCAGAGCAGCUCAUCAGUUACGGCAGCUGCCAGUUCCCCACACUGGGCUUUGUGGUGGAGCGGUUCAAAGCCAUUCAGGCUUUUGUACCAGAAAUCUUCCACAGAAUUAAAGUAACUCAUAACCACAAAGAUGGUAUCGUAGAAUUCAACUGGAAAAGGCAUCGACUCUUUAACCACACUGCUUGCCUAGUUCUCUAUCAGUUGUGUAUGGAGGAUCCCAUGGCAACUGUGGUAGAGGUCAGAUCUAAGCCCAAGAGCAAGUGGCGGCCUCAAGCUUUGGACACUGUGGAGCUUGAGAAGCUGGCUUCUCGAAAGUUGAGAAUAAAUGCUAAAGAAACCAUGAGGAUUGCUGAGAAGCUCUACACUCAAGGGUACGGAUGCCACUCAUGCGGAGCACAUCGAGACCAUCAAAGCCCGGAUGUACGUGGGCCUCACCCCAGACAAGCGGUUCCUCCCUGGGCACCUGGGCAUGGGACUUGUGGAAGGUUAUGAUUCCAUGGGCUAUGAAAUGUCUAAGCCUGACCUCCGGGCUGAACUGGAAGCUGAUCUGAAGCUGAUCUGUGAUGGCAAAAAGGACAAAUUUGUGGUUCUAAGGCAGCAAGUGCAGAAAUACAAGCAGGUUUUCAUUGAAGCGGUGGCUAAAGCAAAGAAAUUGGACGAGGCCUUGGCCCAGUACUUUGGGAAUGGGACAGAGUUGGCCCAGCAAGAAGAGAUCUACCCAGCCAUGCCAGAGCCCAUCAGGAAGUGCCCACAGUGCAACAAGGACAUGGUCCUUAAGACCAAGAAGAAUGGCGGGUUCUACCUCAGCUGCAUGGGUUUCCCAGAGUGUCGCUCAGCUGUGUGGCUUCCGGACUCGGUGCUGGAGGCCAGCAGGGACAGCAGUGUGUGUCCAGUUUGUCAGCCACACCCUGUGUACAGGUUAAAGUUAAAGUUUAAGCGCGGUAGCCUUCCCCCGACCAUGCCUCUGGAGUUUGUUUGCUGCAUCGGCGGAUGCGACGACACCCUGAGGGAGAUCCUGGACCUGAGAUUUUCACGGGGCCCCCCCAGGGCUAGCCAGCCCUCUGGCCGCCUGCAGGCUAACCAAUCCCUGAACAGGAUGGACAACAGCCAGCACCCCCAGCCUGCUGACAGCAGACAGACUGCGCCCUCAAAGGCUCUGGCCCAGACCCUCCCUCCACCCACAGCUACUGGUGAAAGCAAUUCUGUGACCUGCAACUGUGGCCAGGAGGCUGUGCUGCUCACUGUCCGUAAGGAGGGCCCCAACCAGGGCCGGCAAUUCUUUAAGUGCAAUGGAGGUAACUGCAACUUCUUCCUGUGGGCAGACAGCCCCAAUCCGGGAGCAGGAGGGCCUCCUGCCUCGGCAUAUAGACCCCUGGGCGCCUCCCUGGGACGCCCACCAGGCCCAGGGAUCCACCUAGGUGGGUUUGGCAACCCUGGUGAUGGCAGUGGUAGUGGCACAUCCUGCCUUUGCAGCCAGCCCUCCGUCACACGGACUGUGCAGAAGGAUGGACCCAACAAGGGGCGCCAGUUCCACACAUGUGCCAAGCCGAGAGAGCAGCAGUGUGGCUUCUUCCAGUGGGUCGAUGAGAACACUGCUCCAGGGACUUCUGGAGCCCUGUCCUGGACAGGAGACAGAGGAAGAACCCUGGGGUCGGAAGCCAGAAGCAAAAGGCCCCGGGCCAGUUCCUCAGACAUGGGGUCCACAGCAAAGAAACCCCGGAAAUGCAGCCUUUGCCACCAGCCUGGACACACCCGUCCCUUUUGUCCUCAGAACAGAUGAGCUCAGGGUAGGGUAGAGAACGCCACUUUCUCAGACCUGUCCCCUUUGUGUUUAGAAAUGAGUUAACCAGGACCAAGUGGCCAUUUAGUGUCCUGGAAACUUGGAGGACAGUGUUGGCCUUUGGAGUCGGGCCUUGUUGUGUUAAGGGGCACAAGGUCCAGACCACUCUGGAGCAGGCCAGCUCUGCUGGACAGUAGCCCUCUUCUCAGGCCUCAGGAGUGACCAUAGCCACUGCUGAAAAGUCACACAGCUGCUCCCUCGGACCCCCCAAGGAUGGUUGCUGUUAGCAGAGGAUUGGUGCAGUCCCAGCUGAAGCCCACUGUGUGCCAAAGGAAGAAGCUCCCAGGGCUGCUUCCUUCACCUCCAGAAAGCCCCAAGUGAGCCACCAGCACUCAUGGGGCAGUCCCUGUCUAGGCUGCCCAGGGCUUCUCAUAGACGUCCUGAGAAGGACGGUGUAAUGCAAGGAAGUGGCUGUGGUAACACUGAUCCUUCAGAAGAAGCUUCAUUCCCUCUUUAUCUAGUUAAGCCAGGACACCCAGAAUUCAUUGCUUUAAUAAAGAACCCAGGCCGGGUGCAAUGGCUCAUGCCUGUAAUCCCAGCACUUUGGGAGGCUGUGGUGGGUGGAUUGCCUGAGCUCAGGAGUUCGAGACCAGCCAGUGCAACACGGUGAAACCCUGUCUCUACUAAAAUACAAAAAAUUAGCCAGGUGUGGCGGUGUGCGCCUGUAGACCCGGCUACUCAGGAGGCUGAGGUAGGAGAAUUGCUUGAACCCGGGAGGCGGAGAUUACAGUGAGCUGAGAUUGCGCCACUGGACUCCAGCCUGGGCGACAGAGUGAGACUCAGUCUC